rnacentral:rRNA from 1 species
UACGUAGGGUCCGAGCGUUGUCCGGAAUUACUGGGCGUAAAGAGCUCGUAGGCGGUUUGUCACGUCUGCUGUGAAAUCCCGAGGCUCAACCUCGGGCCUGCAGUGGGUACGGGCAGACUGGAGUGCGGUAGGGGAGAAUGGAAUUCCUGGUGUAGCGGUGAAAUGCGCAGAUAUCAGGAGGAACACCGGUGGCGAAGGCGGGUCUCUGGGCCGUAACUGACGCUGAGGAGCGAAAGCAUGGGGAGCGAACAGG